CGCCGCUGCGGCCGCCGCCGUAGCCGUAGCCGCCGCCGCCGGAACUAGAGUGAGGGUCACGUUCCGUUAACGCUAACGUUGGAAAGCGAUUUUAUUGAGCCUCUGCAGAAUUCCCUGGGUAUACAAAGGUGACUAAGACAAUUCUGGCCAUCAAGGAGUUUACAGUCUACUUGGAGAGGCAAACAAACCAACCCACGAAUCAGAGGUCUCAGCCUUUCUGUGGUUUGUUCUGCUAAGACCUCAUGUUGCCCUCCCGUCGGGUUCAGCUGGAUAUUCAGGUCAACUCCUGGACCAUCUUGAUUUCUACGUUGACUUCAACAUGAGGUUGAAGACAAUAGAACUGGAAUUCAGAUGGUGGUUUCUUCUGUAGCUACUGCAUCACCUGAAACGCACAGAUUGAGAGCCAUGCGGGUUACCAGGAGCUCCUGGGCGUCCUACCUGCUCAUGACGCUUCUUCAUAAGGAUGAGCUCUUUCCUCAUCCCCUCCACCUCCUGUUCCAAGUCUGUUGUGACGAUGGUCAGGUCAUCCAAGGCCUUCCGGAGACCCUCAACUUCAGUUUCCAAGUCUUUCUUGAAGGAGUGUUCAUUUUCAUACCUUUGGGUAGAAGGGAGAGCAGAGUACACCUGCUGUUGGAAGGCCACGGCCUUGUAAGGAGUCACCUUAGUUUAGAGGUGAAUCUCUUACUUUUUACAUUUAAUAGGAGCAAAUGAAUACAGGCUGUGCACCCUUUGUAUGUCUGUUUCAUGCAGGUUUUUCUAUGAUGGUGACUCAAUUUUUUUUUAAUUACAGAGAAUGAAAUAAUAAACAGCCAUAUACCCAUCACUUAGAAUUAGCAACCAUUAACAUUUUGCCAUAUUUGCUUCAUCUAUAUUUUGUAUUUUACAGUAUAUUAUAGACAUUAUGACAUUUUACCCCUAAGUACUUCCGAAUGUAUUUUUUAAGAAAAAGACAGUUUUCUAAAUAAGCAUAAUAACAUUAUCACACCUGAAAAAAUCAAUAAUAAACUCUUCAAUACCAUCUAAUUCUUGGUGCAUAUUCAAAUUUCCCCACACCAAAAAGUGUAUUUUGCAUCUGGUUUGUUUAUACAAGGGUCCAGUCAGGUAUUAGUUCCUGUUAUGCCUUUUAAUUGUAUUUUGGUAGGAUUUUACAUGUUGGUAGUGGAGAGAUAAGUUUUCCUUCUAUAAAACAGAAACAAAAGCAGUAGUAACCCCCAAAACAAAAUAGAACAAAACACCAAACAACCCCCCCGCCUUCCCCAACACUGUGAAGAAGGAACUCACUUAAGACUGAAGUUGUCCACCGCCAUCCUGGCGUUGUCAAUGAGCAGGAUGAUCUGAGCAUUCGUCAUCUUGCCAUCUGCUAUCUGUAAAACAGGCACCGGGAGUCAUUUCGGUCGUACAAACCACACAGGAGCGCUGUAUUGCUGCCCAGCUCCUGGGAAGCUGACUUGUCAGCCUAGAUGACGUCUUCUUCUAGCAGUGGAAUAACGAGUAAUAAAAUCCAGUUGUUGUGAGAGUUAAAUCAGUUGAUAUAGAACAUUUCCAUCAGAAAUGUUCGCGGACAGUGCAGAUAAGUGGAUUAAAUACCCAUCACGAUGCCUGGCAUACAGUAAGUACUCAAUAAAUGUUUCCCUUCCUUUCCCUUCUUCACCCUCCUGUCAGCUAAUAAAUUAUGUGAAUAGGUCUAACCUGACAUUUCUUUAGGGAGUUACGUUCUCAGCUUCCCAUUUGCAAAAAUCUUCUAGUCUCUCCAUUCUAAAACCAAAACGACUUUAUUAAUAAAAACAGCGUGGUGAGGUUUGUUGAAUCACUUUGUUUUUUUUUGGUAAAGACAAACAUGUACUAUAUAGUUAAGGCAAUUACACACUCAGUUAUUAGGUUGAUUAUUCAAUAAUUAGGGUUCAUUAUAAGGACAGAUUUCUAUUAUCUUGAUUGGUCCUUCCUAUAUUCAAGCCUGGACAACUGAAUGCUGAGAAAUAAUACCAUAUAAAUACUGGAAACCUGUGAUGCCCUUUCUUGGAUAUGUUAAGUAAGAUCUUACAGGAAAUUUUCUGAGACCACUUUACAUAAGAGGGAAUUUAUGUAGCUUUAAAAUAUAACCUAAAAGGUGACUGGAUUCCCUCUGCUUCUAACCAGUGUUAUGAGGGUGUAGUUUUUUUUUUUUUUUAAUGUAUGUCCCAGAAAGAUUAGCUUUUUUAAUGUUGAAAAGUAUUUUUUUGAAGAAUUCUCCCUAAUCCAGCCUAACUCUAAGAUUCCAAAAAUUAUCCCCAUUUUAUAAUGUAUUUUCCUAGCAACACGCCAUCUUCAGAACUGGGAGCAGCUAGAAUUCAGAACUUCUAGCAGCUCCCAAGAGGCAAUAUCCAGGGAUAUCACAAUGAUGUAUCUGCUAGUGGAGUGACAGCUUUUAGGUGUGAUCUCUGAAAUAGUACAAUUCAGCCUUUCUUUGAUGGCUGAUCACCCUGUCGCCAGGACUUUGAGGUGGAGAGGAACUGAUGUCAUGAGAAAGUAAAUGCUCCCUUGUGCCUUGUGCACUAAGCAUGAGGCAUAAAAACGCACCCUGAUCAUUACAAUCGUGUCAUUGGAUCAUAAGUGAUUCCGACAGCAGCUGGUUGCCUUACGUUGUUUAGACUUUUCUAUAUAAUUUAUGUAUAAAGAUUAUUAUACCAAACAUUAUUGGUAUUAUUAUACCAAGUCCAAAUUUAAGGUAUGAUAUGAAAAUAUCUUUGAAUACCUUUGUUCAUGAUGACUUGAAGCUCUUUUGCCAUUUUCCUGGAAAUUGUCUUUGUACUGAUUUCUCCUCCCACUAACCCCUAGAAACGCAGCCCCCUCUGGAGUUCCAGGAUCAGCCGGGAUCUUACCUGCUCCUGCAGGCGGCUGAUGUUGUCCUCAUAUUGGGAGUAAUCUUGCUUACUGCCCGGAUCUCUCUGCUGAUGCCACUUGAAGAUGCAACUUUCGAGUUUCGUGUUGGCCUCCUCCAGGGCGCGCACCUUGUCCAGUUCUUAUGACAACCUAUGGAAUGGGAGAAAAUUUUUGCAGAUGAAACCGACAAAGGCUUGAUCUCCAGAAUAUGUAAGCAGCUCAUACAACUUAACGAGAAGCAAACAACCCCAUCGAAAAAUGGCCAGAAGACCUAAACAAGCAAUUCUCCAAGGAAGAAAUACAAAUGAUCAAUAGGCACAUGAAAAAAUGCUCAAUAUCACUAAUUAUCAGAGAAAUGCAAAUCAAAAGCUACAGUGAGGUAUCACCUUGCACCAGUCAGAAUGGCCGUCAUUCAAAAGUCCACAAACGACAAAUGCUGGAGAGGCUGUGGAGAAAGGGGAACCCUCCUUCACUGCUGGUGGGAAUGCAGAGCCAAAGAAGGAGUUUAGAAGGGACGGUUGUAGCUUUUCCCCUUCAUGUGUCAUGGCCAAAAACAAUUCUCGAACUUGUCUGACUGGCUCUAAUGAGGAACAUAAGUCAACAAGGCCUGAAUAAACACAAGGAAAACCUGCCCAUCACCUGUGGAAUCAGGUAAUGUAGGUCACCUUCUUGCGCACUUACACAUCAGUGCUGACCCUCUGAUACAUGGGAAAUGUGCUUCCAGAGAAGUGUCAUUUAUUAUCACGUUGGCAGCAGCGACUCAGGACAGAAGCAGAAUAAAAGAUAGUCUGUCUAGCAAUGGGGACCCCAUGUAGUAGCAAGAAACUAAGUACCUUAAGGGCCUGGGGAGUUCUUAAACCUUUCUGGCCGGAGCAAGUACUGGCCUCUCUUUCAUGAUUGAGGGUCCUUUUUUUAUCACCUCGGGAUGUCAGAGUUUGGCAGUUCUGGUGAUGAAGCAAGGCUGCACAUGCUCGUAAGAAGAAAUGACUUUCCCAUCCUUGAUCUCCUUGGUGAUGGUGCAGAUUUUCACCAGAAUUCGGGGCAGCGUUCUGCAGUCACCACAGGACUCCUGUAUCCCAUGGGGGGCUGAGGAUGAUGUGCAAACUGGGGCUGUGCAUUCCGUGGCUCUGGCCUUACUGGAUGUGCAAAUGGAAGGCUCACAUUUGGUGGCACAUGGGUGACAGGGAAGCCUAGGGGGGAAAAAUGCAGAAUUUUACCUGUGAUUGAGGGAAGGCAACAAUGACUAUGGAGAAAAACAGCAGUGGUUCAUUUUUCAACACGUGUCACUCAAAACAAGUGCUUCCUAACGCUUGUUCAUUCAUCCUGUACCUUAGUGGAAGGAAAAAAAUCAGACCUGAUCCAUGGGAAAGCUGCAUCCUAGGUUUAGAAGGACUAGGUUAUGUAAGCUGCCAUUAUAGCCAAUGCCAUAGCAUUGGACGAACAAGCCGGGAGUCAGAGGCUGGGAUGGAGCCCAGCUCUGUCAUUUGCCAGCUGGUGACCUCACAGAAGUCAGUUAACCCUCCCAAGUUUUAGUUUUUCAUCUGCAGAAUGGAUUAAGGGGGACUCAACAGUGAUAAGGGACAAGUUCAAGAGCUUAACUAUCUGAGGAAGGAAGCUAAACAGGUGUUGUUCUUCAUCAGAUAAUUAGUCAUAAUACUUCUGGUGGCCUGAUUCCCGUCUAGGGAAGAGUCCUCAGCACUUCAUCAGAAGCACUUGAAGUGCCUCUGUGCACCUAAAAAUGAAUAAUCCUUAGAGAAUUGGAGUUAGGAGUUAACAGUAAGAACUCUUUUUAGAAAACAGCAUCUUUCUUUGAUGAUUCAAGGCACUUUGGAAUAUUGUAGCUCCUCCGGGCGAUCGCACAGGUUAACAGUGUGUGAACAGAGUUCACUAAGUGUUUUGGGGAGGGAAACAAUUAGUGGGGAGCAGACCUAGUUAGCAAUUGUAACUAGGUCUGCAUUUGAAGUGUUAGUUUGGUCUGAGUUGCUUCAAAGAGCUUCUGCUCUAUUCCUUAUGGAUUGGUAACUUAUUAUUUCAAAAAAUACAACUUCCAUAAAAAAAAUGCUGAAACACAUAUGUACACAUUGUUGGCCUCUAAGGACAAGUGGCUGGAAAAGGUUAAGGGUUUAAGCCUGAGCAGAACGUCCUUCAAAGACAGCAGGGUAUUCUCGUUCAAUCUCAUGGAAGUCAGAAGUUCAUGUCAGUGGGAGGAAAUCUGUAAAUCACCAGGAAUGUUCAUCUUUGGGGAAACCAUUCUUUUCCUAGUAAUUUUUAAAACUCUAAGAAGCUAGCUAACCUAUAAGGGGUUAAUCUGGAGCACUGGUUAUUCAAAACGACUCGGAUCAGCUAACCAGUCCAGUUUGGUCUAGGUUAUGAUUGUAGGUGUCCAAACGGCACAGCUUGCGAGGCCCUUCCAGCGUCUUCCAGCCACAGCUCCCGCUCACUGGCAAGAAGCGCCAGCACUUGCCCCCUGUUGUCAGUACAUACAUGUGCGUGCUUGAGCCUCUGUCUCAUAGAAGCUGCUUUUAUUUUACGUACUUGCCAUCCGAGCUCUCCAGAAGACUGCGGUAUGUGCUAAUCUCACACUCCAGCCGGGACCUGACGUCCAGCAGAAUCUCAUAUUCUUGGUUCUGUCUUUCCAGGGCACCCCGGAUCUCUGCCAGCUGAGCCUCUAGGUAAUCGAUCAGACACUGGAUCUGGGCCAACAAGGCUGAGUAGCGGGCCUCCGUCUCUGCCAGGGCACGUUCCUGGGAGUCUCUCUACCAUGGGGGAAGGAAGGGGGAUUUAUAACAAUGACUCUUUUAAGCCCAGAUCACUUGUGAUCUGUAUCAUUUGAAACAAUGGUUUCUUUGUGACAGGUACUAAUGAAUCUCCAAACCCUCUUAUUGCUUCCUAACCAAAUAAAUCCAAAAAUAAAAUUACCAACUAUGCUAAA